CUUACUCAGUCCUCUAUCGUGCAGACACAGAUCACAACCUCAGCAGCAGCUCAGCACUGAAAUGUGGAUCCUCUCCUGCGUCCUCAUUGGCUCUCUGGCCUCUUCUUUGCCCGAAAAUCACACCACCACACCUCCACCUGCAUCAAAACCUUCACCGACAUCCACACAUCCACCUGCAUCUGCCUCCGUCACUCCUUCUCCAUCACUCAUUCCUGUGUUGUCAUCUAUUGGAUCAGUGUGUUCUGUGGUUCUGCUGAUGUUAGUGGUUCUGGUGGUGAAACGAUGGGUAUGUGGAAAACCCAAAGAGGAUGCAGAAGAAGUUAGAGAAAAUGACAUCACAGAUGGCAUCAUAUACAGUGAAAUCAUAACCUCAAAUUAUCAACAGCAGCCAGCCAGACAGAGCCCAGGUAAGAGUGAUCCAGCUACAAUCUACUCAGAAGUGAGAACCAGUUAUGAACAAAUUGGCUUCAGAGCAAACAGACCUGCAGAUUUUCUGGAGCCAGAGGUCAUUUACUCCAAUCUCCAGUAGUCGACCAGUCCAGCCAGUGGAGUCCAGCUGCUCUACUUGUGUUGUCCUGUGGGUUUCAUGAAGAUGACUGAUGGAAAAUUUGAAUUGACUGAUAAAACAUCUGUCUUCUGAUCAGAUAGGAAACAAACAAAUUAACUGCAACCACAGACUAUAAACAGCAUGAGCAUCGCUACAUUGUGUGGGUUACAAGCAGCAAUUUAUAUGUCAGCUUUCAGAAACUCAAUGAACUGUUUCAUUAUUAAAUUAAAAGCAUUCUGUGCUUUCAAACUCAGAAUUGUGACUUUUGGUUUGAUGAAACAGAAAACAUUUCAUCAUGUUUAAUCAGACCCCCCUCCCACCCAAAAAAAACUAUAGUAUUAAAAUUCAACUCAGUUAAUUCAGUUGCAUUUGUACAGCAAAUAAAAAGAUCACAGCAACAGUCGCCCCGAGGUGCUUAAACUGGACAGCUCCCCUGAUCCCGUUGAUUAUAGGAAGUGUCAGCACCUUUCAUAAUAAGAGCAUGGAAAUUAUGAAAAAAUUCUAGAACCACAGAUAAUCAUGCUUCCAUCAGAUAACAUGUAUUUUAAAUGUGAAACAUAGAGACAGCGAACAUAAAGAAGAACAUAGACAUGACGUUAGUUUUGUGGUUUCAGGCCUUCAGAGUCUGCUGCCAUCUACUGCUAUUACUGGGUAUUAGCAAAUGACAACAAGAAAAAACCUGUAAACUACUUAAUGUCUAUAUGUUGUGAUAAGUUUAUAGUUAGUUAUUCAGAGUUAAAAUGUUUUUAUUGUUCAUGAAGGAUUACCAGACUGAAAAUACAUCAUAUAAACUCUUACACAUUUUUCUGUAUCUCUCCCACAUGUGAUGAAUGCCUGUUACUGGAUGAAUAUGAACAUUCUUUGUUUAAAUGUGACUCUUUGUUGGGGCAAAAUAAACAAAAGGAACUCAAUUGUUAUCGAA
ensembl:lncRNA